AAGAAAACCUGGCUUUAUAGGAAACCUCCAUAUAUUGUUCCUCUAUCUCUCUAUAUAUACAUCUUCAUCGUUUCAUCAAUAUCCAGUUCUUCUUCUUCUUUUCUAGGCAUUGAUAUUACUCCACCCAUAAUCUCCUUUCAGCUUAAAAAUUCAAGGAUGAAUAAUCACAACUAGCCUUCAGCAGCUGCAUAUCCACCACCGCCGACAUCCAGGAUGCCGGAACCCUACGUGACGGCACCACCAGUGGUUAUCCGAUGAGUAAAGACGAGUCCCAAGCCUGGUGCGGUGGAACCAAGUCCAGAGGAUGGAUUCUGGAAGGGAUGUUGUGCAGCCCUGUGUUGCUGUUGUCUUCUGGAUGCAGCUUUUGAAGCGUUCUUGUAUGAUAUCAACACUUUUGUUUGUUUGAGAAU